UACCUAUGUUGCAUAGAAAGUUUGAGCUGAUUACAAUCAUACUGUGACUUUUAAAAUUUUAUUACUAGGUAUACAUUGCCAUCGUUACUAUUAUGAUUACAUAUACAUAUUACCCAAAGCCUGUUAGCCUAGUUUGCUAUAUAUUAGCAUCAAUAUAUACACAUACAUGUAUUAAUGUGUGGCACUGCAUAUUCAACCAUUGUUCCUUUUGUUAAAAAGGCAGGAUAUGAAAAAUGCAUCAAACACUUUUUCUACCUAAGCCAAUGUUGUCAUAACUUAUUGUUACUUGUAUAGGAGCACGUACGUUUCAAGUCAGGAUUCAGAGGAGAGAAGCAAAUGGACUACCAGUUUGCGUAAAGGCUUAGGAUUUGCUGGACUGCGGUGCAAUGCCAAUAAUACACAAUUGGGAUCAUAUUUAAUGAAAAAACUGGAAAUUUCAUAUAGAAAUGGGGAUAUUAAGAAAAAGAAAAUGGUUGCUGUUGUAGGGAGGCAAAAUGGAACAGAUGAGAUAUGGGUCAUGAAUAGGCAAAUUCAUUUAGAUAACAAAGGAGUUCAGGUAGACCCAUCUGAAAGCCCUUAUACUUGGAACGAUGAGCUAGAUGACAUGGCUCCUGAAUUAACAGCUGUCAGGAAGAAUAAAAGUUCUGUAAGAGCACUAAUAAAAGCAGUUCACAAGUCAUAUGGUGCAAACACUCCUGCUGUUUUGCUGACGAUUGGUGCAGAAAUAAUCUGUUUUCAUUAUGAUAUUCUGAAUGAUAAGGCGUAUUCAGUACCAGCAAGCAUUCUGACUGGAGCAGUCAGCAUUGGAAAAAGCACUGCAUCACGUAUUGCUUUAGCUUGUGCCGGAGCACAAAAGUCGUUUAUAACAUCAGCCACAGACUCCAAGAUAAAGAGCGUCACUAGUAAAAGUACUCUUGGAAUUGCACUUGAUGAUCCUAAGGAUGCACAGGAUAUAGCUGAGAAGGUGAUGCAUCACUUUGACAAGGGGAAAAGUUGUUCUCAGACUCGUACUUGUAUUCCUCGCUGCACUUUCAUGGCAUCUGUUAACAGUGAAUUUUUGAAGAAAUUUUCUGAACUUCAUCCAAAGUACAUCUCCAGAGUUUGCUUAAUUCCAUUUGGGAAAGACACCCAUAAUCUUAGCCCAGCAGAAAGAUUUGAAGCUGAUAGAGAAUUAGCAAAUGCAAUGAAUGUGUCCGAUUCGUCUUUGCCUAUUAUUAUCAAACUGCAAUCUCAAUUUGACAAGGUACAUGAAUUGAAGGAAGUUAUUGAGAAAGUUUCCAGUUUUCUACCCAAGGAAACAACUCAGAGGCUUCAGUUUUCCUACUCUCUUUUAUUGUUUACGACAUUGAAGUUUUUAGAAAAGCUUAAAGUUAAGGAGCAAUAUGAACAACAACUGUGGUCUUUCUUUCAAGAACAAAUGAUUCCAGUUGUAACACAAUACCAACUAAAGAGUGAGGCUACUAAGCCUGGUAUGCAGAUCAGUAUGUCUUUCAGCAAAGAAGCAUUUGAGCAGUUGCUACUUCAAGUGAUUGAUGAUGACACAGGAGAUAUGAUUAUAAAGUCCUUUCUCAGAAUAGAAUAUAAUUGUAACAAACCUUCAGCAAUAUCUGUAUUGAUGCCACACUUGACACAUUUUCUGAAGAGGAAAAAAAUAUCCUAUGAUGAAAAAUUUCUUGCCAAAUUAUCCCUUUUAUACGAAGGACAAUGUAGAACGAGUAUACCUCGUACCUUUUUAAGCAUUGACUCCACAUUGACAGAUAUUCCUAAAGGAAUUAGUGGCCGUAAAGCUGAGGGAGCUGUAUACCUGAGAUGCAUUGAAAUUAAUGCCGAUGCUUUAUCAGAGAGAACACUGAACCAUCUUGAAGAAGCUUUCUUAGGAACUUCUAGUGCUCUAAAAGAGUCUCAAGAUAGUGUAAGAACUCCCACCAAGUGUGAAGAGACUCAUCCCUUACACACCUCAACUCCAAUUACAAAGGCUGAUUGUAUGUCAUUAUUACUUGUUCUGAUGUUUAUUACAACAUUUCAUUAGUAGACCAAGAUAGUUUGUCAAAUAGAUCUAGCUUAUCAUCAGUGGCAGAUGACCGUAAUAUCAGCGGUACAGUGGCAUUAGUAUCUGAAGAGUCUGCACAAGUGGAACAGGAGGAAACGGACUCCUUGAGAUAUGGUUGUGAUUUGCAAAGUAAGGCAGUUGAACUAAAAAUUAGUGUAUAAUUGAUAUUAUGGAUUUAUCAUAGAGUCUGGUGAUUCCACACUAGCUUUCAUUGAAGAUAACAAUAUAGGACAACAAAAUGAAUCCUUCAGUGGUUACCGUAGUGAAAGUACAAGGAGUAAAGAUGAGAAAUCUCAGGGAGGAGAAUGUAAGGAUGCUAUAGAUAGAGAUUUACAAGAAUGCAAUUGGAGUGUGUUAUAGUGGGUUUCAACUUUAGUGCAUGCAUGCUUUUCAUUCUUUUUUGUGCUUGUGUGAGAAACUCUUUUAAAGUUCACUUUAAAUUCUAGGUAAAAGAUCAAUGAGAUUAAGAACACAUAUUGUUGCUCUUUCUCCUAAACAGCCUGAACAGGAUCAUUCUGUAGCAGGUGCAUGUGAUACUAACAUUACAAUUUGUUAUAAUGUUUAAAUUUUUUCAGUUAAAAGAUCAUUUCGCUUGAAAACAAGAACCACCGAUGGAGCAGUACAAUUUUCUUGCAGCAAAAAAACCAAAUUACUCCAUGAAACUUAUUGCCAGCAUUGUGAAGAAAAGUUUAAGAAGGGAGAGAGGCAUCAGAUGGUUGGAUGUGAUCAGUGUACGAGGUGGUACCACAUGAAGUGUGUGAAGUGUGACGUAAACAAAUUUUGGAAAUGUGAAAAAUGUAAGAUAAAUUUAUCACAAAUUUUUAUAAUAAGUCUUUAACAUUGUAGGUUAAAUAACUGAUAAAGAAACUAGAAAGACAUUAGUACUCCUGUUACAUAACAUAGGUAGUAAAAAUUCUAUUGUUGGGUAUUAAAGUUAUUACAAAUGAUAAUUUAACAUUAAUUUUUCUGUAAUGGCUACAUUCAAGAACAAAAAUUUAAUCUUCAGAAUGUUUUGAUACUAUUUCAGAAACAGUACAUCAGUGCAACAAUGCUACAGUGCA
rnacentral:misc_RNA from 1 species